rnacentral:lncRNA from 1 species
CCUCCUCCUUCAAGUGUGACCUGAAGACAGAAUGGGCUUCGUACUUCACCUUUAAUUCUUUCAAAAUGCAGACUGUCUGUGAGCCUGUACACACCUAGGCAGGAAGAAGCAGUCUGGUUUCUACACUACCAUCAGGGUACAAAGCUAAUUCAAAUGAACUGUGUGAGCUGGUGACAGACACCCAAAGAG